rnacentral:rRNA from 1 species
CAUGGUUGUCGUCAGCUCGUGCCGUGAGGUGUCGGGUUAAGUCCCAUAACGAGCGCAACCCUUAUCGUUAGUUGCCAGCUGGUAAAGCAGGGGACUCUAGCGAAACUGCCACCGUAAGGUGAGAGGAAGUGGGGAUGACGUCAAAUCAGCACGGCCCUUAUGUCCAGGGCUACACACGUGUUACAAUGGCCGGCACAGAGGGCAGCUACCUGGUGACAGGAUGCUAAUCUCGAAAACCGGUCUCAGUUCGGAUCGAAGUCUGCAACUCGACUUCGUGAAGCUGGAUUCGCUAGUAAUCGCAGGUCAGCAUACUCGCGGUCGAAUACGUUCCGGGCCUU